CUCAGGGGCAGUGUCGUCCUGCAAGAACACCAGCUGCUCACACAGAUGGGUUCAGAGCACACUCACGAAAACAGUGUUCAUUGUGACCAUAAUGAGGACCGGUGGAUUCUGCUGGAAGGAGGAUUAUGUAAGAAUUCACCUCUGAGGAAGUUGAAAGGCAUCGCCCCAGGUCAGACGACUGUGAAAUCUGUACCUGAACCCGACAUGGGAAUUAUGUGAGUGUCCUUCAUUUCCCGGUCAACGAAGGAUCC